UGCCAGCCGCCGCGGUAAUACGGAUGGUGCAAGCGUUAUUCGGAAUCACUGGGCAUAAAGGGCACGUAGGCGGCAUUGUAAGUCAGUGGUGAAAUCCCUCGGCUCAACCGGGGAACUGCCAUUGAUACUGCAGUGCUAGAGUGUGGGAGGGGCAGACGGAAUUCCAGGUGGAGCGGUGAAAUGCGUAGAUAUCUGGAGGAACGCCAGGGGCGAAAGCGGUCUGCUGGCCCACAACUGACGCUGAGGUGCGAAAGCUAGGGGAGCAAACAGGAUUAGAUA
rnacentral:rRNA from 1 species